rnacentral:rRNA from 1 species
CCUACGGGUGGCUGCAGUCGAGAAUCAUUCACAAUGGGGGAAACCCUGAUGGUGCGACGCCGCGUGGGGAAUGAAGGUCUUCGGAUUGUAAACCCCUGUCAUGUGGGAGCAAAUUAAAAAGAUAGUACCACAAGAGGAAGAGACGUCUAACUCUGUGCCAGCAGCCGCGGUAAUACAGAGGUAUCAAGCGUUGUUCGGAAUCACUGGGCGGAAAGCGUGCGUAGGCUGUUUCGUAAGUCGUGUGUGAAAGGCGCGGGCUCAACCCGCGGACGGCACAUGAUACUGCGAGACUAGAGUGAUGGAGGGGGAACCGGAAUUCUCGGUGUAGCAGUGAAAUGCGUAGAUAUCGAGAGGAACACUCGUGGCGAAGGCGGGUUCCUGGACAUUAACUGACGCUGAGGCACGAAGGCCAGGGGAGCGAAAGGGAGUAGAUACCCCUGUAGUC